CCUACGGGAGGCUGCAGUGGGGAAUAUUGCACAAUGGGGGAAACCCUGAUGCAGCCACGCCGCGUGAAGGAAGACGGCUUUCGGAUUGUAAACUUCUAUCCUCAGUGAAGAAGAAUGACGGUAGCUAAGUAGCAAGCCACGGCUAACUACGUGCAAGCAGCCGCGGUAAUACGUAGGUGGCAAGCGUUGUCCGGAAUUACUGGGUGUAAAGGGAGCGUAGGCGGGAAGCCAAGUCAGCUGUGAAAACUACGGGCUUAACUUGUAGACUGCAGUUGAAACUGGUUUGCUAGAGUGAAGUAGAGGUUGGCGGAAUUCCGAGUGUAGCGGUGAAAUGCGUAGAUAUUCGGAGGAACACCGGUGGCGAAGGCGGCCAACUGGGCUUUAACUGACGCUGAGGCUCGAAAGUGUGGGGAGCAAACAGGAUUAGAUACCCCAGUAGUC
rnacentral:rRNA from 1 species